rnacentral:rRNA from 1 species
GACGAACGCUGGCGGCGUGCCUAAUACAUGCAAGUAGAACGCUGACUACUUUAGCUUGCUAGAGUAGAAGGAGUUGCGAACGGGUGAGUAACGCGUAGGUAACCUGCCUACUAGCGGGGGAUAACUAUUGGAAACGAUAGCUAAUACCGCAUAACAGUGUUUAACACAUGUUAGAUGCUUGAAAGAUGCAAUUUCAUCACUAGUAGAUUGACCUGGGUUGUAUUAGCUAGUUGGUGGGGUAACGGCCAACCAAGGCGACGAUACAUAGCCGGCCUGAGAGGGUGAUCGGCCACACUGGGACUGAGACACGGCCCAGACUCCUACGGGAGGCAGCAGUAGGGAAUCUUCGGCAAUGGGGACAACCCUGACCGAGCAACGCCGCGUGAGUGAAGAAGGUUUUCGGAUCGUAAAGCUCUGUUGUAAGAGAAGAACGUGUGUGAGAGUGGAAAGUUCACACAGUGACGGUAACUUACCAGAAAGGGACGGCUAACUACGUGCCAGCAGCCGCCGCAG